UACGUAGGGUGCAAGCGUUGUCCGGAAUUAUUGGGCGUAAAGAGCUCGUAGGCGGUCUGUCGCGUCGGCUGUGAAAACCUGGGGCUCAACCCCGGGCCUGCAGCCGAUACGGGCAGACUAGAAUUCGGUAGGGGGAGACUGGAAUUCCUGGUGUAGCGGUGAAAUGCGUAGAGAUCAGCAGGAAUACCCGUGGCGAAGGCGGCCCCCUGGGCCGAACCUGACGCCUGAGGCGCGAAGGCUAGGGGAGGCGAACGGG
rnacentral:rRNA from 1 species